AACGAACGCUGGCGGCAUGCCUAACACAUGCAAGUCGAACGAGACCUUCGGGUCUAGUGGCGCACGGGUGCGUAACGCGUGGGAACCUGCCUUUAGGUUCGGAAUAACUCAGAGAAAUUUGAGCUAAUACCGGAUAAUGUCUUCGGACCAAAGAUUUAUCGCCUUUAGAUGGGCCCGCGUUGGAUUAGCUAGUUGGUGGGGUAAAGGCCUACCAAGGCGACGAUCCAUAGCUGGUCUGAGAGGAUGAUCAGCCACACUGGGACUGAGACACGGCCCAGACUCCUACGGGAGGCAGCAGUGGGGAAUAUUGGACAAUGGGCGAAAGCCUGAUCCAGCAAUGCGCCGUGAGUGAUGAAGGCC
rnacentral:rRNA from 1 species